rnacentral:rRNA from 1 species
CCUACGGGCGGCAGCAGUGAGGAAUAUUGGUCAAUGGACGCGAGCCUGAACCAGCCAAGUAGCGUGAAGGAUGACUGCCCUACGGGUUGUAAACUUCUUUUAUAAAGGAAUAAAAUGAGGCACGUGUGCCAUUUUGUAUGUACUAUAUGAAUAAGGAUCGGCUAACUCCGUGCCAGCAGCCGCGGUAAUACGGAGGAUCCGAGCGUUAUCCGGAUUUAUUGGGUUUAAAGGGAGCGUAGAUGGGUUGUUAAGUCAGUUGUGAAAGUUUGCGGCUCAACCGUAAAAUUGCAGUUGAAACUGGCAGCCUUGAGUACAGUUGAGGUAGGCGGAAUUCGUGGUGUAGCGGUGAAAUGCUUAGAUAUCACGAAGAACUCCGAUUGCGAAGGCAGCUCACUAAACUGCCACUGACACUGAUGCUCGAAAGUGUGGGUAUCAAACAGGAUUAGAUACCCGAGUAGUC